rnacentral:rRNA from 1 species
UACGAAGGGGGCUAGCGUUGCUCGGAAUUACUGGGGCGUAAAGGGCGCGUAGGCGGAUACUUAAGUCGGGGGGUGAAAGCCCGGGCUUAACUCCGGGUCUGCAUUCGAUACGGGCAGGCUAGAGUUCGGUAGGGGAGAUCGGAAUUCCUGGUGUAGCGGUGAAAUGCGCAGAUAUCAGGAGGAACACCGGUGGCGAAGGCGGAUCUCUGGGCCGAUACUGACGCUGAGGAGCGAAAAGCGUGGGGAGCGAACAGG